rnacentral:rRNA from 1 species
CCUACGGGUGGCAGCAGUGGGGAAUAUUCGGCAAUGGGCGCAAGCCUGACCCAGCAACGCCGCGUGAAGGAAGAAGGCUUUCGGGUUGUAAACUUCUUUUGUCAGGGAAGAGUAGAAGACGGUACCUGACGAAUAAACCACGGCUAACUGCUUGCCAGCAGCCGCGGUAAUACGUAGGUGGCAAGCGUUGUCCGGAAUUACUGGGUGUAAAGGGCGUGUAGCCGGGUUGACAAGUCAGAUGGGAAAUCCUGCGGCUUAACCGGAGAUCUGCAUUUGAAACUGUUGAUCUUGAGUACUGGAGAGGCAGGCGGAAUUCCUAGUGUAGCGGUGAAAUGCGUAGAUAUUAGGAGGAACACCAGUGGCGAAGGCGGUCUGCUGGACAGCAACUGACGGUGAGGCGCGAAAGCGUGGGGAGCAAACAGGAUUAGAUACCCGUGUAGUC